rnacentral:rRNA from 1 species
CCUACGGGAGGCAGCAGUAGGGAAUAUUGGGCAAUGGGCGAGAGCCUGACCCAGCCAUGCCGCGUGCAGGAUGAAGGCCUUCUGGGUUGUAAACUGCUUUUCUCAGGGAAGAAAAAGAGGAUGCGUCCUAAACUGACGGUACCUGAGGAAUAAGCACCGGCUAACUCCGUGCCAGCAGCCGCGGUAAUACGGAGGGUGCAAGCGUUGUCCGGAUUUAUUGGGUUUAAAGGGUGCGUAGGCGGCCCGUUAAGUCCGGGGUGAAAGCCCACAGCUCAACUGUGGAACUGCCCUGGAUACUGGCGGGCUUGAGUCCAGACGAGGUUGGCGGAAUGGAAGGUGUAGCGGUGAAAUGCAUAGAUACCUUCCAGAACCCCGAUUGCGUAGGCAGCUGACUAGGCUGGUACUGACGCUGAGGCACGAAAGCGUGGGGAGCGAACAGGAUUAGAUACCCUGGUAGUCCACGCCGUAAACGAUGGAUACUCGCUGGUGGCGAUAGACAGUCACUGGCUUAGCGAAAGCGGUAAGUAUCCACCUGGGGAGUACGCUCGCAAGAGUGAAACUCAAAUGAAAUUGACGG